UUCCCCUCAGCCAGCAAAAGCACUCCUUCAGUGCUCGUCUGGCCACUCACAGGUGGCACAGCCUCAGAGGAAAGCUGCCCUGAAGCAGCAGGUACAGGGCUGGUACCUGCAGCAAUGGCAGAUAUAACCCAAAACAUACCUUUUUUUUUUUUUGUAAGGUCAUUUUUCCUAAAGCUAAGCGCAGAAGUCAAACAUUUCUUUGUUGGUAUAGACACAAGACUGAGGCGAUGUGAGCAGAGCACAGAGCAACAAGCCACCCUGAACCCAUCCAAAGCAAGGAUCAGAGUGGAACAGACACAUUAGCAAUUGCCCAACUCCAUCCCCAACCUGCCAAAGCCUAAACCACACAGCUUACUUCUAAAUCUUUAUUUGUUUUCUACACAGAGAAAACAGAGGAAUGUUGAAGCAGCAAUAUUUAAACACACUAGCAAGGAGCCAUCAAUCUGUGAGAGUGCACAAAGUGCAACACGGGGCCAUUUGUGCUGUGGUCUCUGCUACGGGGCAGGGUGAGGGCAGGUCCAGGAACAGCCUCUUCGUUCAGACGGGAGAGCUCUACGCAAAGGUGGAGCCGUUCCAGCCCACGUUGGCAGCGUUCAUGUCGAAGUAGUUGAUGUAGA